rnacentral:miRNA from 1 species
AUCUCCAGAUAUAAUGAGGGAAA